rnacentral:piRNA from 1 species
UGCUAGGAUCUUUUUUUUUUCAGGUGGA